ACGGAUCUCUUAAAGCUGUUCUCAGUUCGGACUGCAGUCUGCAACUCGACUGCACGAAGCUGGAAUCGCUAGUAAUCGCGGAUCAGCACGCCGCGGUGAAUACGUUCCCGGGCCUUGUACACACCGCCCGUCACACCAUGGAAGUCUGCAAUGCCCGAAGCCGGUGGCCUAACCACUUAUGUGGAAGGAGCCGUCUAAGGCAGGGCAGAUGACUGGGGUGAAGUCGUAACAAGGUAGC
rnacentral:rRNA from 1 species